UUACAGUCAAAUCACGCUGAAAACGCCGGUCCACGUUCGAUCACCGAAGUUAAGCAGUGUCGAGCCCGGUCAGUAAUUAGAUGAGAGAUCACUUGGGAAUAUCAGUUACUGUAA